AAUUCGAAGCAGCGCGAAGAACCUUACCAGGUCUUGACAUCCCGAUGCUAUUUCUAGAGAUAGAAAGUUACUUCGGUACAUCGGUGACAGGUGGUGCAUGGUUGUCGUCAGCUCGUGUCGUGAGAUGUUGGGUUAAGUCCCGCAACGAGCGCAACCCCUAUUGUUAGUUGCCAUCAUUCAGUUGGGCACUCUAGCGAGACUGCCGGUAAUAAACCGGAGGAAGGUGGGGAUGACGUCAAAUCAUCAUGCCCCUUAUGACCUGGGCUACACACGUGCUACAAUGGUUGGUACAACGAGUUGCGAGUCAGCGAUGGCAAGCAAAUCUCUAAAAGCCGAUCCCAGUUCGGAUUGCAGGCUGCAACUCGCCUGCAUGAAGUCGGAGUUGCUAGUAAUCGCGGAUCAGAAUGCCGCGGUGAAUGCGUUCCCGGGUCUU
rnacentral:rRNA from 1 species